CAAAAUUCUUCCACUCGUACAAGCACAAUCAUUUCAAAGCACAUUUCUUGUCACUCCCGCUUAUCAUAGCGUUUUAUAGCUGCUUGUAAAUCACUUAUUAGGUCCAUUUAUUGGAUGAGGCCAAGAGAAUGCAUGAUGGCCUUCUCAAGAACAUUGCAUGAUGAGAAAAGGGGUUGAGGUUGCAGUGGUAACAUCUCUAUACGCAGUUACCAUAUCAUGGUAUCCAUUCCUACUGCUGACACUUCCAAUUUAAGAUCUUCAAAAUAUAACUCUCUAAUCUAUUGAAAAACGGGCAGGGGUUUGUCUUCCCCACUUACUUACCCAAAAAAAAAAAAAGAACACUAGAUGAUGCCUAACUUCAAUUUACAUUAAUUUUAGGCUGAACACCCUUCAUAACAUAACAGAGUUUUCAGUGUGAUAGCCUCUUAUAAAAUUUGGCCUAACAUCCAAUCCAUAGGGAAUUUAGUCAUGGUCCCAGAACCAAUUUGAAAAUAGACUUACUCAUUCUUCAUUUAAAAGUAGUUUGGCCUCAAUCAAAGAGAUAUUGGUAAGUGAACAACUUUUUAUAAAACAUAUGACAGUUUUGAAAACUUCACUGCAACCACAACAAGGACAUCUUUAUAUAAAAAGGAGCGUAACUCCUAAAUCAUAGAGAAUUACAAAUUGUUCCAAAUUAAGUUUUGAAUUAGAAACACUUAUAUUUCAUUUAAAAGUAGUUUGAACUCAUUUGGACACCAUUUGGUCAGUAAACAGUCCAUUACAAAAACAUGUAUAGUUUCUGAAAAUUCACUGCAACCACUGCAACCACCACAGUGAUACCUUCAUACAAAAAGGGGCAUAUUUUCCAAACCAUGAGGAAUUUUAACAUGGUCCCAAUUUUAAUUAUAUAUAUCCAUAUUUCAUUUAAAGGUUGUUUGAACUCAUUUGGACAUCAUUUGCUCAGUAAAACAUUUAAUAUAAUAUAAGCAAUAGUUUUGGAAAUUCACUGCAACUUAUAACAGUGACAUAUGAAUGAAAACAGGGGUAUAAUUCUCAAAACAUAAGGAAUUUCGUCCUGAGUACAAAAUAAUUUUUGAAGUAGACUCACUCAUAUUUCUUUAGAAACUAGCUUGGGCUCAUUUGGACAUGAUUUGAUCGAUGGAAAAUUAACUACAAAAACAUGCACAGUUCCUGGAAUUUCAUUUCCAAUUUUUGACAUACUUCAAAGAAUGAAGUAUAACUUCCAAAAAAAAUAGGCAUUAAUACAAGGUCAUUUUCAUAUUAAGCUAGAUUCAAAAGGGUAUAGUUCCAUCAAUUUUUAUAAUCAUCAGAAAUAUAUUCAAUGCUCAAUCUAUCAUGCAAAUUCCUGGAAAAUCAGGGCUUGUUCUAAUAUAAAUUUUGCAGCGUACAACCACAUGCAUAUGACAAAUUGCAUCAAUAAUCGAGCUUAAACUUCAUGAUUUGUAUAUUCAUGCUCAUAUUAGUCACACACACAUAAUUUUUCUUGAAUUUUAUACUUCAAUGAACUAACCAAAAACAUGUAUGACAAAGCAUAGAAGCAUAGAAAACGAAUCUACUUACAUGCACCAAGGGUUCCAAGUUCCCUACACAGUUUUUCUCCAAGGUCAAGCUUUCAAUGGAGGGUCUCAAGCUUGAGGCUCUAAAGGCUUAAAGGGGGAAAACGUGGCCGAGAGAGAGCAAACUCUUGAGAGGGGUAUGAAGGGGUGAAUAAAUAGGAAAAGGAAGGGGUAGCAUGCAAACAACAAGUGGAAUCAAAGAGCCUCCACAUGGCACACACUGCAACAAGCAAGGGAUAAGUGGUUCAUAACAUGAGAGAAAAGAAGUCUCCUGAACUACCCUAUACAGCUGCGCCCGACGGCCCACAUCGCACACUGCAGCUCACACCCACAUCGUGCAUGGCAGCGGUCAUCCACAUCGCGCACAGCAGCAUCGCGCUCGGCAGCAUUCUCGCACGGCGGUGACUUACCCGCACGAUAGCUGAUCCCUUCACACACGGCGAUUGAGCGCUUCAUGCACGGCGGCUGAUUGCUUCACGCACGGUGGCUUCACUCUCUCACUGCUGCGCAAGGUGACCUCACUCUCUCUCCUCAUCACGCAUAACAGUAAAGCUUGCACGCAGGACAACUAUCCUCUUCCUCUUCGUUGCUCUCUUACCGCUGCGUGCGUUCUCUGCCGCGCGUGUUCACUCUCCUCUUCUGCUUUUUGCUGUCGUACACGGCGGUACCUCAUUGGCGCGCACUGCUAUCCACUUAUAGUCGCGCA
rnacentral:lncRNA from 1 species